CUGCAGAUGCUGGAGAUUCCAAGAUAAUAAAAUGUGAGGCUGGAUGAACACAGCAGGCCAAGCAGCAUCUCAGGAGCACAAAAGCUGACGUUUCGGGCCUAGACCCUUCAUCAGAGAGUACAGGUGUGCCGUGCAUGACCGGACGGAUGUCGCCCAAUCGGAAUGAAGGGAGGGCGGGAUCAGUGAAAACCACGUGAUCAUCCACGAGUGCGGUGCAGAGUCGCUGAGAUAACCGGAACUGCAGAUGCUGGAGAAUCCGAGAUAACACGGUGUGCAGCUGGAUGUACACAGCAGGUCAAGCAGCAUCAGAGGAGCAGGAAAGCUGAUGUUUCGGGCCUAGAUCCUUCGCUGAGACCAAGAUUUGUGCAAUUGAGAUACCAGCGAUCGUUGCCAAAGCCCUGUUACCUGUGGAGAAGGAUAUUACAAGUGGACUUUCAGGUAGGAAGCUCAAUUGUAACACCAAACUCUGACAGAAUUACUCAAUUCAUCAGGACCUGGAUAUUCCCAUUGUGUAUUUCCACAAUUUUACUUCUGCACUAUUCUUCGUCUUUCAGAGGGAUCGAAAGGUUGAGUUACAGAUCUAUACAAUGACUGUCCUUCCUCGCUGGCUCCCCCACCUCUCUCUUUUGGUAGUUUUAUGCAAACACUGACUGGAUCCCUUACCUGGAGGAUAUUUAUGAAUGAAUUUGUUCUAAUGGUGAUCCAGCAUUUUCCCCAAGUAUCGCUCCACACAUGCCCAGAGAAUUUCUCAGUUUCACAAUCUGUGUCCUUCUGGUUUCUUACUCGCUACACUUAACUUUCUGUUUGAAAGUAUAGUCUGCAGUUGGAGAAUUUAAACAGGUCCACAUCCAGGUCUGACGGUCACUUUGUUUAUCACAACCCAAUUAUCUCAGGAUUUUGAACAUUGAAGGAAAACGCAGCACUCACAUUGGGGAGAAAUGCACAUGGUGUGUGUGUUGAAGAGUCUGUGAAGAUUCAUCUGAAAUGUCCGAACACCAGUGCAGUGACACUGGGAGACAGUGUGGAAAUGUGCAGAUUGCAGGAAGGAAUUUCUUCAUCCAUCCCAGCUAGAAACUGACCACCAGAGUCACACUGGAGAGAGACCAUUGACGUGUUCUGCAUGAGGGAAAGGCUUUGCUGAUUCGAAUUCCCCGCUGAUACACCAGCGAGUUCACUCUGGGGAGAGACCUUUCAUGAGCUCUGAGUGUGGGAAGGGAUUCAUUGUCAUCCAAACUGUUAACACACCAGCGAGUUCACAGACAACCACAGUUGAAGAACUUUGCUGUCACUCUCACUAUCAAAUGAACCAUGGUUUUGGGCUGUUUGUACAGAUGUUACCGAUCCCUGCUCAAUUAAAGGUGCUGGUAUUGUGAAUAAAAUGUCACACUAA